rnacentral:rRNA from 1 species
CCUANGGGUGGCAGCAGUGAGGAAUUUUGCGCAAUGGGGGCAACCCUGACGCAGCAACGCCGCGUGGGUGAUGAAGGCCUUCGGGUCGUAAAGCCCUGUCAGGUGGGAAGAAUGUCCUGGGGGUGAAUAAUCUUUGGGAGUGACGGUACCACCAGAGGAAGCACCGGCUAACUCCGUGCCAGCAGCCGCGGUAAUACGGAGGGUGCGAGCGUUGUUCGGAAUCAUUGGGCGUAAAGGGCGUGCAGGCGGCCAGACAAGUCUGAUGUGAAAGCCCGGGGCUCAACCCCGGAAGUGCAUUGGAAACUGUAUGGCUUGAGUACCGGAGAGGAUGGGGGAAUUCCCGGUGUAGAGGUGAAAUUCGUAGAGAUCGGGAGGAAUACCAGUGGCGAAGGCGCCCAUCUGGACGGAUACUGACGCUGAGACGCGAAAGCGUGGGGAGCAAACAGGAUUAGAUACCCUANUANUC